rnacentral:rRNA from 1 species
GACGAACGCUGGCGGCGUGCUUAACACAUGCAAGUCGAACGGAAAGGCCCUGCUUUUGUGGGGUGCUCGAGUGGCGAACGGGUGAGUAACACGUGAGUAACCUGCCCUUGACUUUGGGAUAACUUCAGGAAACUGGGGCUAAUACCGGAUAGGAGCUCCUGCUGCAUGGUGGGGGUUGGAAAGUUUCGGCGGUUGGGGAUGGACUCGCGGCUUAUCAGCUUGUUGGUGGGGUAGUGGCUUACCAAGGCUUUGACGGGUAGCCGGCCUGAGAGGGUGACCGGCCACAUUGGGACUGAGAUACGGCCCAGACUCCUACGGGAGGCAGUAGUGGGGAAUAUUGCACAAUGGGCGGAAGCCUGAUGCAGCAACGCCGCGUGCGGGAUGACGGCCUUCGGGUUGUAAACCGCUGUCGCCUGUGACGAAGCGUGAGUGACGGUAAUGGGUAAAGAAGCACCGGCUAACUACGUG